AUGAUCAGUUCUAUAGGAGAGGAAACAGAGGCUCAGAGAGGUAAAGUAAUUUGCCCAAAGUCACACAGUUAAAGGGUAGAGCUCUUUCUACUGUGUCCUAUUCUCUCUCCAUUCUGUAGCACAGAAACAGAUUCAGCAGACCACUCAGUCCCCUGAGGGCUCAUCAUUUGGAGGUGUGGGCCCAAACACGAGCGUUUGCAUAUUUUUAAAAACUGGAUGGUGGGGGCCAAUGCUUAACCCACUAGAGUGACCCAAUUCAGAGAAAAUUCUGGCACUGUGGUUUGGGGGGUGUGGCUUCUGGAAACUGUCAGAUUAUUCCCCAAGGCAGGCAGUGGCCUGGGUCCCCUGGACAGGACAGGACAGGCAGAGCUCGGCUCAGCAGCUCAGAGGUGGCCAGGAAAGGUCAGGUGGGCGGUCCCCCUCCCCCCGCCCCUCUCACCAGCACUGAGAGCCUCACGACCUGCAUCAGAAUCCCCAAGAGGCUGGAUCUGACCGGAGGGACGGCCUCCAUGUCUGGCCUCCCUUCCCUCCUCCAGCUGGGAGAGGUAGGAUGACCUCACAGAUGCCUCAGGGUGGGGGCCGAGUUACCAUGGGGACCCAGUUGCCACCAGAGAUCCCCUUUCCCCUGGCUCCUGCACUGUCCCUGCUUCUUCUCUGAGUCCUGAGCCCCCACAUUUGGCCACACCAAGGUCAGCGGGGAGGGCCUGGCUCCCCUGUAGCCAAGUCUUGUUUGCCCAGAAGAGGGGAUAAGGAGUCAAGGCAGGGGCGGGAAGGACGCUGUUAGGGAGCAGGGCUACACUCUGGGCCAUGGGGCUCCGUCUAGCUGGGGUCCCCAGGAGAAAGUCCAGAGCUCGCUGGAGAAUCACCCCACCCUUGGAGAGAUUUUCUUCUCUGAAAUCAAUGGCAAGAGACAGAUUGAGUUUCUCAAGCUGUGACAAGUUCUGGGGAUGGAACCCAAGGAGUGAGUUCUUAUACACUGACGGGGCCUCUUCUGUCAUUCAUCUCUUCUGCACAUGCCCAUUUGCUUUUCUGCCAUGAGAUCAAUCAGCACAAGGCCCCCUCCAGAUGAGGCCAUGAGAUCUUGGACCUUGAGCCUCCAGAACUGUAAGCUUAAAUAAACUUAUUUUCUCUAUAAA